ensembl:lncRNA
CGGCCCUCCUCGUUGGCUCGGGCGGCCGCCGCCGCCUCUCGGCAUCCGGCGUGGAACGGCGGUGUUGGCUGCGCUGGGUGGACGCUCUGGCAGCCGGUGAGGGAACCGCUCGAUGGAAUUUCUGAAGCGAAACGAACUACCUGAGUGCCUCGAAUUGGAAACGAUGGGUUUCACUGAGCUGCGAGUCGUGCGCGCGCAGUGAUGGGCGGCUGCGGCGACCCUUCCCUCAAGCAGUGGGUGGUGAACGAUAAACGAUAGUUGAGCCGCACGAAGAGAGACGGCGUCGCAUCUGCGCGGUGUUUCAUUUUGAUCUGGGUUUGUUCAAACGCUUUUUUUUUCUCUCUUUUUCCUUCUCAAGCCUCGGGAAUGUGAGAGGAAAUGCUUUAAGAAUAACGGAAUACAUUGGUACGGCCACACUGAAAACGUUACCCACUUAAGGCAGGUGCGAAACCGCUCUGCUCGUAGCCCGGGGGAAACAGCGUGGGGCACGAGGGCGUACGGACAGUGCCUGUCUUUCCACAUCGACUUCUCUGUAGCGCCGGCUCCGAAGCACACGCGCCUUUGUGUCUUCUUAACCGAGUGUGCACGUGGUCGCGCUGCAUCCGCCAGUUUCCAGCGGCGUCUCCACGCAGCUCUGCCCUAACAAUGGCACAGCUCCUGCCAAGCGUGAUGUAUGCCGGCUGGCUGCUGGGCCGCUUCUUUCCUCGGGUAGAGGCGAGGAGAACAGCAGCUGAGCUGGAGCUGAGCCCCUCUCUCGCGUGGCCGUGGGAAUGGGAGCUUAUAGAGAGCCCCCCGAGCAAACGCUGAGCGCCGUGGGGCUGCUCCGUGCCCUCGCCAAGUACAGGCAGUGUGCAGGGAGGGUUUCGGGCACCAAAGCAUCCAAACCCUUACUGGUGGAGCUGGGAGCUGUACUCCUUUCCUGGCUUUCCCGCUCUCUUUGGGUGGUGAAUGACAACCUGUAAGUGCUCUUAUCUGAAGCGUCCGUAGGUCUUGUAGGCAGUAUCCAGCAGGGCAGAGGAAGUUGUUUUCUUCAUAGUAAGUUAAUUCUGUUGAUUCUGCGUGUAGCUUCCCUCUCUACUGCAGUUAAAACUCAUUCGUUCUACCUAAAAACCUUUUGUUCCUUUAAGAAAAAGUGUCAGGGUGCCUGGCACAUCCCAUGGCAACUCAUCCCCGCUUCCCCACCCUGGCACGGGUGGGGAGCACACAUGGGGGAGGGUGGUGUGGGCAGCGCCAUCCAGGCCUCACGCUGUGCAUGUCAGAUGUCAGCAGGAGCCUCAGCCUGAGGCUCCCCACUCAGACGCCUUUUAGUGGCUGAGAGGGAGCCGUGAGCAGCUGCUGCCAUGCAUGUUUAAAGUAAUCGAUACUGCUUUGGGGUAGAGAGCUUCCCUCCUUCCUCUGAGCACAUCAGUGUGAUUUACGAUCAACAAAACCAUGCUCCCCGUGUCUCCUUUUCUAGAUGGCUGACACAUGAUGUCAGGCUCUCUGCUGCUGUGAGGUAUGGGAGAAAGACCAUAGGUCAUUCAUUCCGUGAGGGCUUACCUAUCAGCAGGAGGUGCUGGCAGAACUGAUCGUUGAGCCACAGAAUAUCCUGAGCUGGAAGGCAACUGUAAGGGUCAUCAGCUGUAAGUCCUAUGAAAUGUGUAGGAAUGAUUUCCAAUCCUUACAUUAGUUUUACACUGUGGUCAAGCCAACUGUUGAGUAAGGGUCACCAGAUGUUCGGUUUUCAGCACUUCGACUGAGGAUGUAAUGGUUUCCUAAUCUUUCUCGUUGUUGCAUUUCUGAUUGCUGGUCAAUGCUGAGCUCUGAAUGAAACAACAACAACAAAAGGAACAUCCCUACUUAAAAAAAUAAAACAAAGGAAAGAGUUGAGUAACAUUUAAUUGUUAUGAAAUCGUUUAUAAAGAGUGAGAUGUCAGCCUUAACGAAGCAGCUCUGUGCUUGGUAUUUUAUCAGCCUUCUUCAGCACCGCUGCGAGGACAGAGCUGAACAAUGAGCUGUUCUGUCCUCUGGUGCCAGUGCAGCAGCUGAUGUUUGCAGUAGCUGCUUGUGAUAUGGUGCUGCACGGGAACCCCUCUGUGCACACAUGCUCAAGGCAUCGUGCUGGCGUUCACACAGCUGCAACCAAAACAGCCCCAGUGUUGCUAAUGUAGAAAGCCGUGGCUGCUCCCUGUGUGGUUUAUGGGGUCUCAAAUCAGCACAGAAGAGAGCAAACUGUGGUAAUUCUGAGUAUUUCAACUUUUUCUUUUCUUUUCUUUUCUUUUCUUUUCUUUUCUUUUCUUUUCUUUUCUUUUCUUUUCUUUUCUUUUCUUUUCUUUUCUUUUCUUUUCUUUUCUUUUCUUUUCUUUUCUUUUCUUUUCUUUUCUUUAACACUGCCUUGAUUGAACAGGUCACAUCUGUCAGUGAGGUACCAACAGCUCUCCAGAAACAUGGCAAAAUAAACUCCGGUCCGCUGGCUGACACCUGGCUUUGGCACAGCUCUCACUGCACGCGGGCUGAUCUACUUAAUGCGACUGCUCCCUUAACCAUGGCAUUCAGCAUGCGCUUGGUAGUGUGAGCUGGAGAUCUUUGUUCACCAGGUUUGCUCUGACUCGUACAACUGGGGAGACUUUCUGACAGUGGCUGAGUCAAUGCAAAUGAGGUGUUUUGUUAUAAAUCUCCUGAUCAUACCCAGCAGGACCGAAUGCUUUGCUCAUACUGCACUGACCACCUGCAGAGUUUGUAUUCCUGUGCAUUCCCAAUUUUAUCUUUUUCCUUAAACCAUUGCUAGUUAGAAGCACAUGGAUACAGAGGAGGUGGUGUUAGUGGUCAUACAACUGCCUAUUUCCAUUGCCUUUUAGGUGGGGUCAUAUAAAAAGGUGGAUUUCACCCCUCCAGAUGCUGUUCCUAGAGUACCUGCUCUAAUAGUUUCCAGGGUAAACAGUAAGUUGUAUGAGUAAUGCUCUCAGCGUUGCCUGGGCAUUGCUUGACAGCCACAGGGUUCAGCUGUGCUCAAGGUAAAGCUGAGUGGUUCACUAGCGCUCCAUUCUUUUUCACUACAAUAUAGAACAUACUUUAUUUAUGAGAUCAUAUCUUAAGGUCUUGGGUGUUUAUGUAUCAUUCAUAGCCUUGAAAUUUAUCUUCAGUUAAUAUAACAACAAAGAUAAUAAAAUAACCUUUGUUUUGAUUCUCUGAAUGAUUCACAUCCCCCCUUCCUGGCUGUUUUGUUCAAAAAUAAAGAGGUGGGAAGAGAGAAUAUUCCAAGUACAAAGGCAGAGGAUGAAAGCAUCAUUCUGUUUCUGUUCCUCCUACAUAAUAUUGCCAUAGUAACAGGGAGAUGAAUGUGGCUGUUCAUCACUGGAAGCGGAGGUACAGCAGACACUAUUCUUAUUCAAGGGAAUAUUAGUAAAAUACAGAUUUUUAGCAUGUCAAUAAUGAAUUAGGAAAAAACGUUCCGCUCUCCAUAGCAGACUCUGAACACUAAUAAUAAAGUGCCACUUUGAAAGAAGAGAGGGCAAUUAAGGCAUUUAGCAAACAUUUAUAGUGCUGUAAAUCAGAGCAUUUUAUCUUCCACACAAAGCUGUGCUGAGUUGUGGAGUGCAGUCACAGAUAAUAUAUUCUGACAUCAAACCUCCAUGAGACCGGCAGCUUGCUCUCCUCUGUCUGAUGUAUUUCUGUCACGGCAGUUGGUUGUGGUUGUUGCCAAACGUUUGUGCUGCAGCACUGACUGGUUGUGCUAGACUGGAGCACGAGCGGCUUAUUAUUUCCUGGAGGCCUGAAGUGCUUCAGCUGAGGACUGAAGGGUGGAGCAGAGCUUCAUUAGCAGCCCCAGCUGCCACCUGGGAUGGGGAGUGUGAAAUGGCAGCAGGAACCGCAGUGCUCUGCCAGCUUCCCUCGGCUCCGCUUUGGAUUAAAGCAACCAGAACUGCAGGUCAUUUGAAUCAUAGAUACAAAAAAUCUAACUGUUGAUAUAAGGAGAUCAGAACUGCGUGUAUUUCAUGGUAUGUUUUUGGCUGAAAUAGCGUGUAUUUUCAUGCAGUUCUUCAUCAAUUAUUCAAAGCCUUGGCUUGAUCAUUAGAAUAAUAUCCUUUUUUAACUUGUUCUAUCGAAAAGUUGUGCUUUGAAGAAGUAACGUCCUUGCAAAAACCAAAGAGCUCAGAGGAUUUCCUCUGUCAUUUUCCUGCUACCAGCCGUCAUGCGUUGCAUUCUCUUCCAAAAGAGAAGGUGAAAAGGAGCGAGACAAAGAAGAAAGGGAUCACAGUAUCUCAAUUUUAUUUUCUUUCCUGAAAAGUAUUCUCUUUGGACAGACAGUAAUUGUAGUUUCUAAUGACACAAACUUGAAGGGAAACAGAAGAAGACUACAAACAGGUUUAUGGGCCUAUCAGCGGGAAUAUGUGGCUACAAAUUGCUGAGUAAAUGAAACAGCCUGUUGUUUCCUAAGACUGAGAUUGUGAGUGUUAUGCCAAAGUAUUUGAGGAGGAGCUAGAGCACCAGGCGGUGUAAAGAAUACCUGCUGAGCCCUAAUUGGUGCCCACUGUUGUUAAUGGCUUCCUGUGGCUGAGUGUUUACUUGUCAUUUGUUUUGUGCUUUGUUUCCCAGCUACUGGAAGGAAUAAAAAUACUGACCAAAACUUUAUUUUGCUUUUAAGUGUAUCCCUGGACAUCAAGUGCUGCACUGCAAAUUGUCUCACGAUGCUAAGUACCUCAAGUCCAUUCCUCAGACCUGUAAUUAUCUGGUGCGCCUCAAAAGUUACAUUGCAUUGGAUGCUGGUUUUGAAUUUUGAAAAUUAUCUGAUUUAUUACAGUCUGUAUUAUAUGAUUUUAAAAACUGUGUUAUGUGAAUGCCUGGGGAGUUUGUCUACAACAAGACUUUUGUAUGGUUGGACAAACAAACAAACAAAAAAAAACCCAAAACGCCGCCUUAGACAAAAUCAGACUUUUCUUAAACAUCCGUUCUCCAAAAAUAUUCAUUUCUUCCAUAAACCUCAGCUUUUAUGGGAUACAUGUGAGUAGUCUGUGAGAGACGACAAAGGAUGGAACCUUGUGUGCUGAAGGCUUAACGAAGAAGUUCCCACCUGUGAUGCAAAUCUUGGAUUUAGAGAUAUUUUUUUCUGUCCUAUUCCAAAGGGACAUAAGAAACAAACAAACAUACAAAAUGAACCACUAUCACGCUGUCCAGGUUGAUGUUUCAGAUCCUUGCUUGCUCUGUUGUUGUCUCCCUAGCAAGGCUGCCUGCUAGUGCCAACUAUGGUGUGAACACCUCCCUGCUGGGAACAGGAGUGAAACUGCCAUUUUUAAUUGGGACACUGAAUAAUUUGUGGUGAAUAGCCAUGUAUGCUCAUUACUGAUCAAGGAAGAAUUAGAACCAGUGAAAACUUUCUAAUCCCAUAAUCUUGACUCAUCUAUUUAUAUCGCAUUGUACUUUUAUUUUAUUUUACUUUGUUUUGUUUUAUUAUUUUUAGCUGGUCAAGGGGAAGGUUUAACUUCAUUAAACCUAAAAAGCAAUGUGGAUUUCUGGGGAAAAAAUACCUUUUUAGUAUGUUAGAUUUCAGCCACUGUUUGAGAUGCCCUCUCAGACAAAGCAGAUAAUGCAGGAGCAAGUUUCAGUUAAAUAGAGAACAUUCUUGCAUUGUUGAUUACUAAAUAAUAAUCAAGUGUUUUUGGGUUUUGAUUCUCUCUCUUGUUCUCUUAGACUAUUAUUGGAUUGUGGAAUGAACUAUAUAUUUGUGGGAUCUUAAAGAAUCAUCAGGAAUUUGAAGACUUUUGGAUGCUGAUUCCAAAGGGCUGCCACACUUCACAGCUUAAAGAUAAACUUGGGGAUAUAAAAUGAAAAAGAUGGAGGUCGUGAAUGUUUGUUCAUAACUGAAUGUUUAGGGAGUUUAGAUUUAAAAACAAAAGAAAAGGUUUCAAAAACUGGCAGCAACGUGACAGCAAGAAAAAAAAAAGGUGAUGUUCAUGAUUGACUCGGCUGUAGUAUUGAGGUGAUUACUCAAGUACAGUAGUCUUUGUUGGGUUGGGAUGAGAAUUACUGGGACUUUUGGUUGUGAUAAUUUUCAUAAAGCUCACUCAUUUUGAUCCUCUUUAAAGUCAUUGAAAUAUGUUGAUAGUUAAUAUUUUGUUAUCUUGCUCCUUUCUUAAGCAUUCCCUAUUUUUUUU